rnacentral:rRNA from 1 species
UACGGAGGAUCCAAGCGUUAUCCGGAAUCAUUGGGUUUAAAGGGUCCGUAGGCGGUUUUGUAAGUCAGUGGUGAAAGCCCAUCGCUCAACGGUGGAACGGCCAUUGAUACUGCAAGACUUGAAUUAUUGGGAAGUAACUAGAAUAUGUAGUGUAGCGGUGAAAUGCUUAGAGAUUACAUGGAAUACCAAUUGCGAAGGCAGGUUACUACCAAUAUAUUGACGCUGAUGGACGAAAGCGCGGGGAGCGAACAGG